ensembl:lncRNA
GAUGCUGUUUGUCUCUGUAGGACAGUAGUUCAUGUGGCUGUUUGUCUUUGUAGGACAGUAGUUCAGGUGGCUGUUUGUCUUUGUAGGACAGUAGUUCAGGUGGCUGUUUGUCUUUGUAGGACAGUAGUUCAGGUGGCUGUUUGUGUAGAUGCUGUUUGUCUCUGUAGGACAGUAGUUCAGGUUGGUGUUUGUCUCUGUAGGACAGUAAAUCAGGUUGGUGUUUGUCUCUGUAGGACAGUAGAUCAGGUGGCUGUUUGUGUAGAUGCUGUUUGUCUUUGUAGGACAGUAGUUCAGGUGGGUGGCUGUUUGUGUAGAUGCUGUUUGUCUUUGUAGGACAGUAGUUCAGGUGGCUGUUUGUGUAGAUGCUGUUUGUCUUUGUAGGACAGUAGUUCAGGUGGCUGUUUGUCUUUGUUUGUGUUUGUGUAGAUGCUGUUUGUCUUUGUAGGACAGUAGUUCAGGUGGCUGUUUGUCUUUGUAGGACAGUAGUUCAGGUGGCUGUUUGUCUUUGUAGGACAGUAGUUCAGGUGGCUGUUUGUCUUUGUAGGACAGUAGUUCAGGUGGCUGUUUGUCUUUGUAGGACAGUAGUUCAGGUGGCUGUUUGUCUCUGUAGGACAGUAGUUCAGGUGGCUGUUUGUCUCUGUAGGACAGUAGUUCAGGUGGCUGUUUGUCUCUGUAGGACAGUAGUUCAGGUGGCUGUUUGUCUUUGUAGGACAGUAGUUCAGGUGGCUGUUUGUCUUUGUAGGACAGUAGUUCAGGUGGCUGUUUGUCUUUGUAGGACAGUAGUUCAGGUGGCUGUUUGUCUUUGUAGGACAGUAGUUCAGGUGGCUGUUUGUCUUUGUAGGACAGUAGUUCAGGUGGCUGUUUGUCUUUGUAGGACAGUAGUUCAGGUGGCUGUUUGUGUAGAUGCUCUUUGUCUUUGUAGGACAGUAGUUCAGGUGGCUGUUUGUGUAGAUGCUGUUUGUCUUUGUAGGACAGUAGUUCAGGUGGCUGCCCUUGCACUUAGUCUGCCUCCUGCCCCCCCAUCGUCAUGGUUACACCUUCCUGAAAACAAUGACUCCAUACUUUGCUGAAACCUGUUCUGCCAGUUC